rnacentral:rRNA from 1 species
GAUGAACGCUGGCGGCGUGCCUAAUACAUGCAAGUCGAGCGAACAGACGAGGAGCUUGCUCCUCUGACGUUAGCGGCGGACGGGUGAGUAACACGUGGAUAACCUACCUAUAAGGCUGGGAUAACUUCGGGAAACCGGAGCUAAUACCGGAUAAUAUAUUGAACCGCAUGGUUCAAUAGUGAAAGACGGUUUUGCUGUCACUUAUAGAUGGAUCCGCGCCGCAUUAGCUAGUUGGUAAGGUAACGGCUUACCAAGGCGACGAUGCGUAGCCGACCUGAGAGGGUGAUCGGCCACACUGGAACUGAGACACGGUCCAGACUCCUACGGGAGGCAGCAGUAGGGAAUCUUCCGCAAUGGGCGAAAGCCUGACGGAGCAACGCCGCGUGAGUGAUGAAGGUCUUCGGAUCGUAAAACUCUGUUAUUAGGGAAGAACAAAUGUGUAAGUAACUAUGCACGUCUUGACGGUACCUAAUCAGAAAGCCACGGCUAACUACGUG